rnacentral:rRNA from 1 species
GACGAACGCUGGCGGCGUGCUUAACACAUGCAAGUCGAACGGAAAGGCCUCUUUCGGGGGGUACUCGAGUGGCGAACGGGUGAGUAACACGUGAGUAAAUUGCCCUUGACUUUGGGAUAACUUCAGGAAACUGGGGCUAAUACCGGAUAGGAGCUCCUGCUGCAUGGUGGGGGUUGGAAAGUUUCGGCGGUUGGGGAUGGACUCGCGGCGUAUCAGCUUGUUGGUGGGGUAGUGGCUUACCAAGGCUUUGACGGGUAGCCGGCCUCAGAGGGUGACCGGCCACAUUGGGACUUAGAGACGGCCCAGGCGCCGACGGGAGGCAGCAGGGGGGAAUAUUGCACAAGGGGUGGAAGCCUGAUGCAGCAACGCCGCGGGCGGGAUGACCGCCUUCGGGUUGUAGACCGCCUUCGCUCAUGACGAAGCUUUGUGUGACGGUAGUGGGUAAAGAAGCACCGGCUAACUACGUG